rfam:Flavonifractor plautii ATCC 29863 genomic scaffold Scfld53, whole genome shotgun sequence.
CAGAGCCGGAUACAUUGAGAGAUGUAAGUCCGGUUCCCGGAGAGGGUGGUGCGAACCUACCAUAGUAAUAUGGCAAGGCGGUGCCUCCCUACUCCAC